GAUGAACGCUAGCGGGAGGCCUAACACAUGCAAGCCGAGCGGUAUUUCUUCUUCGGGAGAGAGAGAGCGGCGUACGGGUGCGGAACACGUGUGCAGCCUGCCUUUAUCUAGAGGAUAGCCUUUCGAAAGGAAGAUUAAUACUCUAUAAUAUAUUAAUUGGCAUCAAUUGAUAUUGAAAACUCCGGUGGAUAGAGAUGGGCACGCGCAAGAUUAGCUAGUUGGUGAGGUAACGGCUCACCAAGGCAAUGAUCUUUAGGGGGCCUGAGAGGGUGAUCCCCCACACUGGUACUGAGACACGGACCAGACUCCUACGGGAGGCAGCAGUGAGGAAUAUUGGUCAAUGGGUGCAAGCCUGAACCAGCCAUCCCGCGUGAAGGAUUAAGGUCCUAUGGAUUGUAAACUUCUUUUGUAUAGGGAUAAACCUACCCUCGUGAGGGUAGCUGAAGGUACUAUACGAAUAAGCACCGGCUAACUCCGUGCCAGCCGCCGCCGUAAUAC
rnacentral:rRNA from 1 species